GCUUAGAGAGGGGUCAAUGUCCUAUCAGCUAGUUGGUAGGGUAAUGGCCUACCAAGGCUAAGACGGGUAGCCGGCCUGAGAGGGUGGUCGGCCACACUGGGACUGAGACACUGCCCAGACUCCUACGGGAGGCUGCAGUCGAGAAUCUUUCGCAAUGCCCGAAAGGGUGACGAAGCGACGCCGCGUGUGGGAAGAAGGCCUUCGGGUUGUAAACCACUGUCGGGAGUUAAGAAAUGCAAGGGUGUUAAUAGCAUCCUUGCUUGACUAAGGCUCCGGAGGAAGCCACGGCUAACUCUGUGCCAGCAGCCGCGGUACUACAGAGGCGGCAAGCGUUGUUCGGAAUUAUUGGGCGUAAAGAGCACGUAGGCGGCUUUGUAAGUCAGUUGUGAAAGCCUUCUGCUCAACGGAAGAACAGCAUCUGAUACUGCAAGGCUAGAGUGCGGAAGGG
rnacentral:rRNA from 1 species